CCUACGGGCGGCAGCAGUGAGGAAUAUUGGUCAAUGGGCGCGAGUCUGAACCAGCCAAGUCGCGUGAGGGAUGACGGUCCUAUGUAUUGUAAACUUCUUUUGUCAGGGAAUAAAAGGAGGCACUAGUGCCUGUUUGAGUGUACCUGAAGAAUAAGCAUCGGCUAACUCCGUGCCAGCAGCCGCGGUAAUACGGAGGAUGCGAGCGUUAUCCGGAUUUAUUGGGGUUAAAGGGUGCGUAGGCGGGUAGUUAAGUCAGUCGGAAAAGUUUGGGGCUCAACCCCCGAAGAGCCUUUGAUACUGGCUGGCUGGAGUGAAGGAGAGGUAGGCGGAAUUCGUGGUGUAGCGGUGAAAUGCUUAGAUAUCACGAAGAACCCCGAGUGCGAAGGCAGCUUAC
rnacentral:rRNA from 1 species